UACGUAGGGGGCUAGCGUUGUCCGGAAUCAUUGGGCGUAAAGAGCGUGUAGGCGGUCCGGUAAGUCCGCUGUGAAAGUCGGGGGCUCAACCCUCGAAUGCCGGUGGAUACUGUCGGGCUAGAGUGCGGAAGAGGCGAGUGGAAUUCCUGGUGUAGCGGUGGAAUGCGCAGAUAUCAGGAGGAACACCAAUAGCGAAGGCAGCUCGCUGGGACGGUACUGACGCUGAGGCGCGAAAGCGUGGGGAGCGAACAGG
rnacentral:rRNA from 1 species